rnacentral:lncRNA from 1 species
AUUUUAAAAGAAAUACAAGAAAUAAGGAUUAGCAUCUACUCGCGAUCCUCUUGCAGAUCGGACUCUGGAUUCUGGUCUUCUCGAUCUCAAAUGGUUAAAUUUGGAUGUUACAGUUUUUUACAAUAGUACUUAACUAUGUAUAUAUAGGCCAAGUAAAACAAAGUUAUUGCUGAAAACAACGAAACUAUUACAAGAAUAAAGGAAAUGAUCUUCAAAAAAUAAAUUCCAAGAAAUCAGUAGAAUAAUGUUCCAUG